rnacentral:misc_RNA from 1 species
UGAUAUGCUUAAGUUCAGCGGGUAUCCCUACCUGAUCCGAGGUCAACCUUAGAAAUGGGGUUGUUUUACGGCGUAGCCUCCCGAACACCCUUUAGCGAAUAGUUUCCACAACGCUUAGGGGACAGAAGACCCAGCCGGUCGAUUUGAGGCACGCGGCGGACCGCGAUGCCCAAUACCAAGCGAGGCUUGAGUGGUGAAAUGACGCUCGAACAGGCAUGCCCCCCGGAAUACCAGGGGGCGCAAUGUGCGUUCAAAGAUUCGAUGAUUCACUGAAUUCUGCAAUUCACAUUACUUAUCGCAUUUCGCUGCGUUCUUCAUCGAUGCCAGAACCAAGAGAUCCGUUGUUAAAAGUUUUAAUUUAUUAAUUAAGUUUACUCAGACUGCAAAGUUACGCAAGAGUUUGAAGUGUCCACCCGGAGCCCCCGCCCGAAGGCAGGGUCGCCCCGGAGGCAACAGAGUCGGACAACAAAGGGUUAUGAACAUCCCGGUGGUAGACCGGGUCAGGAUCCUACCUGAUCCGAGGUCACCUUAGAAAUGGGGUUGUUUUACGGCGUAGCCUCCCGAACACCCUUUAGCGAAUAGUUUCCACAACGCUUAGGGGACAGAAGACCCAGCCGGUCGAUUUGAGGCACGCGGCGGACCGCGAUGCCCAAUACCAAGCGAGGCUUGAGUGGUGAAAUGACGCUCGAACAGGCAUGCCCCCCGGAAUACCAGGGGGCGCAAUGUGCGUUCAAAGAUUCGAUGAUUCACUGAAUUCUGCAAUUCACAUUACUUAUCGCAUUUCGCUGCGUUCUUCAUCGAUGCCAGAACCAAGAGAUCCGUUGUUAAAAGUUUUAAUUUAUUAAUUAAGUUUACUCAGACUGCAAAGUUACGCAAGAGUUUGAAGUGUCCACCCGGAGCCCCCGCCCGAAGGCAGGGUCGCCCCGGAGGCAACAGAGUCGGACAACAAAGGGUUAUGAACAUCCCGGUGGUUAGACCGGGGUCACUUGUAAUGAUCCCUCCGCAG